UCNAUCAUCAUGCCCCUUAUGACCUGGGCUACACACGUAAUACAAUGGCGGUCAACAGAGGGAUGCAAAGCCGCGAGGCAGAGCGAACCCCUAAAAGCCGUCCCAGUUCGGAUCGCAGGCUGCAACCCGCCUGCGUGAAGUCGGAAUCGCUAGUAAUCGCGGAUCAGCAUGCCGCGGUGAAUACGUUCCCGGGCCUUAGUACACACCGCCCGUCACACCAUGAGAGUCGGGAACACCCGAAGUCCGUAGCCUAACCGCAAGGAGGGCGCGGCCGAAGGUGGGUUCGAUAAUUGGGGUGAAGUCGUAACAGGGUAACGUACA
rnacentral:rRNA from 1 species